rnacentral:rRNA from 1 species
UACGGAGGGUGCAAGCGUUGUCCGGAUUUAUUGGGUUUAAAGGGUGCGUAGGCGGCCAUUUAAGUCUGGGGUGAAAGCCCGUUGCUCAACAACGGAACUGCCCUGGAAACUGGAUGGCUUGAGUACAGACGAGGGUGGCGGAAUGGAUGCUGUAGCGGUGAAAUGCAUAGAUAGCAUCCAGAACCCCGAUUGCGAAGGCAGCUGCCUAGACUGUAACUGACGCUGAGGCAUGAAAGCGUGGGGAGCGAACAGG